rnacentral:rRNA from 1 species
GAUGAACGCUGGCGGCGUGCCUAAUACAUGCAAGUCGAGCGAACAGACGAGGAGCUUGCUCCUCUGACGUUAGCGGCGGACGGGUGAGUAACACGUGGAUAACCUACCUAUAAGACUGGGAUAACUUCGGGAAACCGGAGCUAAUACCGGAUAAUAUAUUGAACCGCAUGGUUCAAUAGUGAAAGACGGUUUUGCUGUCACUUAUAGAUGGAUCCGCGCCGCAUUAGCGAGUUGGUAAGGUAACGGCUUACCAAGGCGACGAUGCGUAGCCGACCUGAGAGGGUGAUCGGCCACACUGGAACUGAGACACGGACCAGGCUCCUACGGGAGGCAGCAGUAGGGAAUCUGCCGGAAGGGGCGAAAGCCUGACGGAGCAACGCCGCGUGAGUGAGGAAGGUCUUCGGAUCGUAAAACUCUGUUAUUAGGGAAGAACAAAUGUGUAAGUAACUAUGCACGUCUUGACGGUACCUAAGCAGAAAGCCACGGCUAACUACGU